AUUGAACGCUAGCGGGAUGCUUUACACAUGCAAGUCGAACGGCAGCGCGAGAAAAGCUUGCUUUUCUUGGCGGCGAGUGGCGAACGGGUGAGUAAUAUAUCGGAACGUGCCCAGUAGCGGGGGAUAACUACGCGAAAGCGUGGCUAAUACCGCAUACGCCCUACGGGGGAAAGGGGGGGAUUCUUUUAGAACCUCUCACUAUUGGAGCGGCCGAUAUCAGAUUAGCUAGUUGGUGAGGUAAAGGCUCACCAAGGCCGCGAUCUGUAGCUGGUUUGAGAGGACGACCAGCCACACUGGGACUGAGACACGGCCCAGACUCCUACGGGAGGCAGCAGUGGGGAAUUUUGGACAAUGGGGGCAACCCUGAUCCAGCCAUCCCGCGUGUGCGAUGAAGGCCUUCGGGUUGUAAAGCACUUUUGGCAGGGAAGAAACGGCGCCGGUUAAUACCUGGCGUCACUGACGGUACCUGCAGAAUAAGCACCGGCUAACUACGUGCCAGCAGCCGCGGUAAUACGUAGGGUGCAAGCGUUAAUCGGAAUUACUGGGCGUAAAGCGUGCGCAGGCGGUUCGGAAAGAAAGAUGUGAAAUCCCAGAGCUUAACUUUGGAACUGCAUUUUUAACUCUCGAACUAGAGUAUGUCAGAGGGGGGUAGAAUUCCACGUGUAGCAGUGAAAUGCGUAGAGAUGUGGAGGAAUACCGAUGGCGAAGGCAGCCCCCUGGGAUAAUACUACGUCUCA
rnacentral:rRNA from 1 species